rnacentral:sRNA from 1 species
UGAAACACCCUGGGAAGUGCAGUUCCCAAGACACAGCUCCAGUCUAGCAUUGCAAGGGGCACAGCAAAAUUCCACAUAUGACAUUACCAACGUGCCCUAAACUCCGACCCAGAGGGACCAUCUUUAGGGUUGAGAGAGCACUUCAGCCUCCGUUCCUCUACAGACCUU